AUCACAGUCCAUCUCAGAGGUCACUGAAGAUUUCCAACCGCAGCCGCCCUCACUGGGCUCGACCCCACCUCCUCCCCACAGCCACUCCUGCUUCUUUAUCUGUUCUAGUGUCUGGGAAUGGCCACUGUGCCCUUUCCCUCCUCCCCCAUUCCAGACAAUGGAUGGUUACACUGGGGCUGGCUGCCACAAAAGAUGCUCAGUAUGAUAUAUAGAAGAAAGAGAAGAAGAAGAAGAAGAAGAAGAAGAAGAAGAAGAAGAAGAAGAAGAAGAAGAAGAAGAAGAAGAAGAAGACAAGACACUGUAAUCCCCCAAGUACAUAGCAACCACUGAUUCCCCAAAUAUAAAACAGAACAGAAGAGAACGGAAAACAGAACAACAGAACAGAACAGAACAGAACAGAACAGAACAGAACAGAACAGAACAGAACAGAACAGAACAGAACAGAACAGAAGAAUAGAUGGAGUGGAGUGGAGUGAAGUGGAAUGGAAUGGAACGGAAUGGAAGAAUAUAAAACUCUAAGAAGCCCAUUUGAAGAAUUCAACAGCACUAAAUAGCUCAUUCCAUGGACUGAUGUGGGAAUCCAUCCUAUAAAGGCACAAAGAAUAGUUUAUGUUUAUUCCAAAAAAGGAAAGCAGAUUGUCACCUUGACCACUCCUCUUCCUCCACUCCGCUUCUGUGGCUAGUGCUAUGCAGCUUAAGCAUAAUCCCAACUCUUCCCUCCAUUCUACCAUAACGUGCAUGAUGUGACCCUACUGCCCCACUGAUGACAAGCUCCCUCCAUAAACUUCUCUGGCCAGUGACAGUUUAUCACAAUUCUGCAAAUAAAGGCUCUGCAUAUUCAGAUGUGAUCAAAUGUUUGCUAUUGUAUUCCCACUGCUGCGGUUAGCACAGGCUGUUGAGAACCAACCUUAACUCAAUGAGCUGAAAUUUAAGUCAAACAGGAGAAAUAAAUGCACAACCUGGAACCAAGAUCAA